GACGAACGCUGGCGGCGUGCCUAAUACAUGCAAGUCGAGCGGACGGAUGGGAGCUUGCUCCCAGACCGUCAGCGGCGGACGGGUGAGUAACACGUGGGCAACCUGCCUGUAAGACUGGGAUAACUCCGGGAAACCGGGGCUAAUACCGGAUAACUCUUUCCCUCACAUUAGGGAAAGCUGAAAGAUGGCAUCUCGCUAUCACUUACAGAUGGGCCCGCGGCGCAUUAGCUAGUUGGUGAGGUAACGGCUCACCAAGGCGACGAUGCGUAGCCGACCUGAGAGGGUGAUCGGCCACACUGGGACUGAGACACGGCCCAGACUCCUACGGGAGGCAGCAGUAGGGAAUCUUCCGCAAUGGGCGAAAGUCUGACGGAGCAACGCCGCGUGAGUGAUGAAGGUUUUCGGAUCGUAAAACUCUGUUGUCAGGGAAGAACAAGUACCGGAGUAACUGCCGGUACCUUGACGGUACCUGACCAGAAAGCCACGGCUAACUACGUG
rnacentral:rRNA from 1 species